AUGAGGAUGGAAGAGGAGUUCUUGGAUUUGGCAAGGUGGAUUGUUGGUGAUAUUGAUAAGAGCCCUUUCACGUAUCUGGGUCAGAAUGACCCCAGCCGAAAAGUGGGAGUAUUCAUAGUACAUUCCACAGGGAAUUGGUUCCACGACACCCUGCGGAUACCAAAAUCUGAGGAUGCGCAAGCAGCAGCUGCCUGUGCAGCAGUGACCAAGCUCAAGGCUCAGGACCUUCGCGGGAAGGAGGAGGAGUUGCUGAAACAGCUGGAUGACUUGAAAGUGGGGCUGUCCCAACUUUGCGUGGCCAGUGGCAGGAGGCACUGCCUCUAAGCUCUCUAAGAUCCAUGUGGUCCGCAAAUCCGUUACCUGUGUUCUCACUGCAAUUAACCAGACCCACAAAGAAAACCUCAGGAAAUUCUACAAGGGCAAGAAGUCUAAGCACCUAAACCUGCAACCUGAGAAGACACACGCCAGGCACCACCAGCUCAGCAAGCACAAGGAGAACCUGAAGACCAAGAAGCCGCAACAGAAGGAGCAGUUGUACCUGCUGCGGAAGUACACAAUCAAGGCCUGAGCAUCACAUUGCCAAUAAAACAGAGCUGGCUGAGGGGAAGAAAAAAAGUGUGUGUUUAAUAUGCAAUUCUACUUUAUUUUUUCAUUGAACAAAUAUUUAUUGAGUGCAAGCAGUGCAAUAGUGACAUCCCCCUGAUGAUGGAUUCAUCAUGUGGUUUUCAUGCAGCAGCAAAACACACAGCAUAUGCAUUCCAUAUGCAGCCUAAAUCCCAUUGCAGUGAGCCAUGUUACAGGGCAGUUUCUGCCUGUACCAAAACAGAAACUGCUUUCUCUGAGCCUCGGCAUGUAGCAGGGUCCCUUCACUUUUAAUGAAAAUGUAGUCUUAUGCGUCUUCAUUAACUACAAAGAGAUCAGAUCAGUGGAACUGAAUAUGGCUUUUUUAUAUUUUACAAUCAAGUCAGAUUUAUUCAUCAUAACCCUGUGUGUCUUUCUACCUCAAAACACCAGGUUACCGCUAAAAUCCAAAUAAACUCAUCAAAGUGCCAUAGCACGAUAUCCAGCUGUGCCUUCAUCACUGCUCUUCUUUCCUUGUAUUCAGAACUUCCACUUUCUAUUUCGCUUUUUGCUUCACAGUUUGAGACUGGGAAAAGGCAUAUUAUUCCAAAAAGCAGAUGGCUGAGUCUUAGAGAGCUGGUAAAUUUCUGCAGAGAUGAUCAGUAUAGCACUUAGCACAUUGUUGGUGCUCAAGAAAUGUACUGAAAGUUAAAACAUUUUAAAUAGACUGACUUUGCUGUUAUUGAGGUGUCCUAAGGGAGCAUUUAAAUCCCCAGUGAUACCAAAAUGCCCAGCCAUCCUUGGAAAAACUAAAGCAGUCUGGAAUAGACUUUUCUUCUUUCUGCCCAAAGGUGACACUUAAACUCCUCUCCACUCCCCGAAAUUAAAUGCCUGGAACAUCGACAAGAUGACAGCCUUCUAAUGCCAGGCUAGUCUUUUUCACCUUAGUAUAGCACAGAAACGUGUAGUGCUUCCCUCUAAAUCCUAAGAAGUUCUUCGUAUGCUCAUUUUACGGGGUAACGGAAGCACAGAGGUUGCCUGCCUACUGCUUAGUUCUUCUGGUAAUGGAAUGUCUUGUUCCUCUGCGUGCUGCCUGUGGACUCUCAGAGCAGUUCUGCUUCUUAUCAGAUUUAUUUGGUGCACAUAGCACAGACCACACAAGUGGUCUCUGUCAACUCUGAUAAAAAGGGGGAGCUCAACAACCUUUUAUGAACAUUCUGCUUUAAACCUGUCAGGCUCUAAAAUUAGGCAGGAGUUGCUGUCAGCAGACAUUCUCUCUGAAGGGCCUGCCCUUUGCAGCCUACCUUCAUCUUUCUUAGAUGAGCACGUCCCAGGACUAGCGAUAAUGGGAGUCCUGGCAUUUGCCUCAGAUAGCACAGUAUCUGAAUUGGAUCAGAUGUGUCACUGAGUAUUGUUUUCAGGAGCCUAACUGAUUGCACAUUCGCACGUCUUAACAACUGAUUUUAUUACUAAAUGUAUGCAUCUCAAGGAGAAUCGUCAUUUCCAGGAGACAGUUGAUCUUUCCACAACUAAGGUCAUUCACUUGAUGGAACAAUAAUGUUCCCUCGAUUUGUCGCAUUUACUUCUCUUUUUUCUUUAAAGGAAGAUGAUUUUUUUAACGAGAUUUACCUGUUAAGGCAGUUAGAUGGGUAUUUAGUGACUGCCAUCUUGUGCUAAACAUGCUUCCAGAGUUAAACUGCUUUAUCCUUAAUGAUGCCUCUAGAAAGUUGUGCUUGACAAUGGGGAUGGGAUUUCUGAAGUUUUAGACUAUGUACUUUAUAUAAAUGUACACCAUUUCUUCAGUAGUAUUUUUUUUAAUGUAAAGCGUUCAGCCCAAGGAUCUGUUAUUCUUAGAAUAUGGUUUUAAAUGUGCAAAAUCACAGCUGCUUUAAAUUUGAUUACUUAAAAGGUUGAGAUAGCUUUAUAAUUUGUUCAAGCAUUUUUUCAUUUGUCAAUUGAAUUGUGUCUGCUAAGCCUUUAAGAAAAUACUUUUGAAAUGGAAUUUAUUUAGUAGAAUGGCCAUGGCAAGAUAUAGUGGGAUUUUUUUAUUGUUUUAAUAAUCUGUCUUAAAGAUAGUAACACUAAUGACCGUGUGGAGAGGGAUCAUCUUUCUAAAAUAAUAACAGUAGCCACUUUUGUAUCUGGACUUUUGAAAUGCUUGAAUAAGCCUCCUUUUAAAGAAAAUAAUGAAGUUAGCUGGGCGUGGUUGUGCACACUUGUAGUCCCAGCUACUUGGGAGGCUGAGGCAGGAGAGUUGCUUGAACCCAGGAGGCAGAGGUUGCAGUGAGCCAAGAUUGUGCCUCUGCACUCCAGCCUGACAACAGAGCAAGACUCCAUCUCAAAAAAAAAAAAAAAGGAAAAGAAUGAAAAUAGGCUGGGUGCGGUGGCUCACUCCUACAAUCCCAGCACUUUGGGAGGCUGAGAUGGGCAGAUCACUGAAGGUCAAGAGAUGGAGACCAUCCUGGCCAACAUGGUGAAACCCCAUCUCUACUAAAAUAUAAAAAUUAGCUGGGCAUGGUGGUGUGCAUCUGUAAUCUCAGCUACUCUGGAGGCUGAGGCAGGAGAAUCUCUGGAACCUAGGAGGCAGAGGAUACAGUGAGCUGAGAUCGUGCCACUUCACUCCAGCCUGGGCAAUAGAGCAAGGCUCAGUCUCAAAAAAAAGAAAAGAAAAGAAAAUAGGGGAUAGCAUCUCUGGCAGAAUGAUGUUUGUCCCCUGGGUUCCCUAGAGCCAGGUGGUCAUUGUCUUGGGGAAGAAAGAAAUGAAUAUUUUAAAUCUAUGCCAAAGGCAGUAACAUUUUCAACAUUUUGCAUAAUUUAACACAAUAAAGAUACUUACAAGGAAGUAAUAACUUGAAGUUAAUUACUUUGUGAUAUAGGAAGAAAAAAACACUGAAUCAGGGACUUGGGAGACCUUUGUAGUAAUUUGCCAUAAGCUGGCAGUGUUGCCAUGGCAGUUAUCUUUUUUGUUGUUGUUGUGACAGAGUCUGGCUCUGUAACCCGGGCUUAAGUGCAGUGAUGCAGUCUUGGCUCACUGCAACCUUUGCCUCCUGGGUUCAAGAGAUUCUCGUGCCUCAGCCUCCUGAAAAACUAGGACUAUGGGUGCCUGCCACCAUGCCCAGCUAAUUUUGGUAUUUUCAGUAGAGACGGGGUUUCACCAUAAUGGCCAGGCUGGUCUUGAACUCUUGUCCUCAAAUGAUCUGCCUGCGUUGACCUCCCAAAGUGCUGGGAUUACAGGCAUGAGCCACCACACCUGGCCCUUUGCAAUUUACUUUAUCUUCUUGAAUCUUAUUUUCUCAUUUGUAAAAUAAGAGAACACUGCUAGCUGGAUGAGGUCCUGGAGUGGCAACCUCUUCUUAUAUCUGAAACAUUUUAGAGUCCCAGAAUUCACUAUUAUUAUCUUAUAUCCUCAGGGCUGAGAAAGAACAGACACCAGCUUUGUUUUCCAGGUGGCACAAUCUUGUGACUGCUCAGAAAAUACCCUUCUCAACCCUCUAUCAGGAAUCAGUGUGGGUUUCAUGAAGGGUGUGGUUCCUUACAGCCUUGUGGUGCUUACUGUUUCUGGUUUGGGAUGUGGAAUAGUAUUGUUAUGCUGCUGUGCCUCUCCACAAUGAAGAGUUUAAGUUUUUUUGUUUGUUUGUUUUUGAAGGAGAAUUUUCAUUAAGUACAGAAACUCAACAGUAUACAUUAAACCCAGUUGAGUGGCAAGUCCUUUGACCCUCUGCCUUUUGCCACUUGGCAAUGCAAGCCACAGAUUUGUGACCCCAGACAUUGCCUCCCCAGUGAUAGUGAUCUUGGCAUAUUCAUCAUUGUAACUGGUCCUGGUAGUUUCCACCAGCUUAGGCAAAGCUCCUGUGUCUUCCCAGUUAACCUGUGUGCAGGCAACACUGGUGCAGGUCCCCCUGUGGACUGGACGUCCCAGCCUGGCCAUUCCUUUGAUGAUGUAGUAGGGAACACCCCUCUCGUGAUAAUAGGGCAGAUGGGAAGACAGCCAGCCUGAAAGGAUCCACGUUGUGCGCAGUCACCACCAGCUGAGCCGCCUUGUUCUCCCCACAAGGUAGCAACAGUGUUAACCCCUGCUCCAAGGACAAGUGGUCUCCAGUGGGGGCCUCCCCUUUGACGGCAGCUUUCUUCUCAGCCGGGGACAGCAGCCAUCGCUUCUUCUCUUGCUCUGUCUCUGGUCUGUACUUGUGGGCCAGCCUAGGCAGCUGAGUGUUGUUUUGCUGCCCAAGGCCUGGACCAACUGGUUCCUCACCAAGGUACUUUCAGCCAUGUUUAGAGGACAGCUCUUUGUCACUGCACCUGGAUGUAGCAGGGCCGCUUGACAAAGCUGGUGAGCAUCUCUUGGGGCCAGAUGUCCUGCAAGUGCCAACAUUCUUGGGUCUUUCUCAGGGGAUUCAUCACCUUGGCCACCUGCUUCUUCACGACAACAGGGGCUAGGGCCACCUUCUCCAGCCGCGCAAGAUGCCAAAACAGUCUAACAUUUGAAGGAGAAGAAAAUGAAAUUAAGGAAAGAAGCUUAGAGUGUAACUUUGGUCAGCCUCUGGCUGGCUCACUAAUGCUUAGAACUAACUGUUGUUUUCAAUCACUGUCGUAAUGUUUGGUUUUAUUUACUGUGUCUUUCAUUGAUAUGCUCUAAGAUAGUCUCACUCAUAAGAUCUUACGGGUGCUUCCAAAGACCAUCUGUUUGUUCAUCGUGGAUUCUUUGGUGGUACUUAUAGUCUGUUAAGGUGAAAGGGGGUGCUGUGUCCAGGCUCCUUGUUGAACUGGAUCUAUUGUAUAACCCAUUUACUCUGCUGUUGACAAGAAGAAGGAAGACAGGGCCCUGUCUGCCUCACAUGAUGAGCCAUUAGCCCUGGAUGACAGAUAGACUUUUUCUAUUACUCAAGUGGGCGUCUGUUAGAUCCCAUGAGAGCACUUUGUUUUCCCAUCCAUUGAGGGUCCCAUAAAAGCUUUGGCAUCUCACUACAAAUAGGUGUGCACAGUGGAUACUCAGAAAGAAGGGAGGUGGAUUAUCAGCUCUCUCAUUGGUUACAGUAUGGGAAAAAGGAAAGGAAGUAAUUUUGUUUUUUAACUUAAACCUGAGUACUGUGGUUGCAAUAAACUACCAGGUAAAGAAACAACAAGUACAGUUAAGCUUUGACAACUGUCUACUUAUCAGGCACUCAUGGCUCUUAUAUAUAUAUAUGUAUAAAUGACAUUUUAUAUGUUACUAAUAAUAGUUUAAGGUUCUAAUAUUCCUAUCACAACUCCACUGUAGCCGAGGAGAGGAGUCAGGGAGACUAGUACAGAGCCCUGUGUGGGUUUGCCUAUAUAAAUGGCAGAGAAGACACUUGCUUGUGAAACCAAAUGACCAAAUAGGUGCCUGGGUGUGAGGGGCCUUGGCACAAGAUGAUCCUGAGGGUUGACAGUAGGGUGGUUGAGAAGAGAGUGUUGCUGUUAGCCCACAUAAGAGGCCCUUGGAGGAGCCAGGUGCCCAGGUGUGUCUGGGCAUGUUAAUUUGGAGAUGUGGGCAGGUCAUCCACCACAGGAGAUCAUGAACCCCCAUACCCUAGGCAAGUUGAUGGGCUUCUUAACCAACCCCUCACAGGUGACUUCCAGGAAACACAUGGCUGGCUAUGGGCCUGCAGAUGUGGACAUGGAGGUCUUUUACAUAGAGCAGAUUGUUGGAGCUCUCUGAGAUGGCAAAGAGGGAAUCUGAAAAGAGAAAAGAGACAGCCAAGUAUAGAAAAUUGCAAAACAAGAGGAAGAGGAGCCAAUAAUGGUUCAGUUAGGAAGCCUGACAGAGAUUUAGUGAAAUGAAAAAGAGCCACAGAAAUACUCCACCCAGGAAACCAUAGAAGCAGUUGCCAUAUAGGGAUUGAAAGGGAUGAGACCUGGAAGGGAACCAAUUCAAACAUGUCAUUUCUGAGCAGCGAGGGAAAGAGAAAGAACAGAUUCUCUAAUAAACGGUGUAUAAAAAUUGGCCAUUUGGGGGAAAGUAGUUAGAUCCUAGGCCAUGUAUAAAAGUAAAAUAUAAAUGUAAAAAGUCAAGAUGAACAUAUAGACAAAUAUAUUUAUAACGUGGGGUAGAGAAUGGUUUAUAAGAUAGGAAGCUGAAAGGGAAAAAUAGAUAUUUGGGUACAUAAAUAUUAACACCUUCUUGCACCUUAAGACACCACAAAGAAAGUUAAAAAGAAAAAAAGGUGGUGUACUGGGAUAAAAUAUAAACAAAGCAUGAUAGAAAAAAGGUGACUACCCUUUAAUGUAAGAUAAAUUUCUGUAAUCAGAAAGGAGAAGUAACAGAAUGAACGAGCAGGCAUACUUUGUUCUCCAAGGACAAAAUAUAAAAUGACUAUGAAAAUCUUUGCUAAUAAAAAAAAUACAAUAAGGAAAUGGCAGUGUUUGCCUAUUAGACUAGUAAAAAUUAAAAUCUAUUUUAACAUCCAUUGCUGAUGAGACAUGGACACUUAGGCGAACAUUGUCAAGUUAUUAAGUCCUUUUUGGAGGAUAUUUGGUUCGAAUUUAUUGCAUUUUUUAGUGCACUUAUACUUCAAUCUAGUAGUCCCAUGUCUAAGAAUAUAUCCUACAGAUCUAUCUAAAAGGGAUUUAUUCCAUCAUUACCAAUCACAGAACAUAAUGAAUAGCCUAAAUAUCAGUGAGAAAAUGGUUAAAUGUAUGUGCAUCCAUAGAAUGAAAUAUUAGGCAGCCAUUUUUUAAAAUGAGAUAAAUCUGAGUGUUUUACCCUGAAAAGAAUUCCAUGAUAAAUUGCUAAGUGAAGAGGAGGGAGAGUGAAUCAUAGCCCAAUAUUAGCCCAAUUCCAUUUAUCACUAUAUAAUAAUAACCUAUGUAUAUUUGACCAUGUAAAUAGGUGUGUGUCUAUGUGCUCAUGAAAAUGUUGGAAAGGAUUUUCCACCACCACUAGGGUAGAGGCAGGGAUGGAGAAAGACAAAUGUUCAUUGAUUACCUUUGAAAGAGCAUGAUGGGGAUAGGAAUCAAUGGGGUGGGAAAGUGGUAAGCUGUGAGUAUGGGGUGCUCAGGAUUAAUCUAUUAGAAAGAUGGAAAUAUAGCUUAAGAGGCAGACAGGGUGAAACAUAAGGUUUUGUUGGCUAGGAUAAGAGAAAUUUGAGUCUAUUUGUAUGCCAAAGAAAGGGAAAAAAUACAAAAAACAAAAACUGUCACAGUAGUGGUGGAGGCAGUAAGGGAUGGAAUCAAGACAGAGCAAUCCUCCUUUCUCUGGGGUUGUAAAGGCUGAAUGAAGUUAGCAGAAGCUUUACCAAGAACUCCAAGCAGACGGACCCUAUGAGGGAUAGGCAAGGCCAGAGGCAGAGUAGGGAUGCAAAUGGUGGUGUCAGAAAUGAAGGAAAAUGGAAAACAUUGGAAACAGUUACUCUUGAUUUAGGUGGGGAAAGAUGGAAGACAUUUAGGAAGGAAAAGACCUAAGACGUAAGUUCAGGGCCCAGCUGAGUUCAAGUAUGCAUUUGUAAUGAAGCAAGUUGGCAUUUUCUGAGUGUCCAGCAGCCCAGGGGAGGAGAAGGAAUCCAAUGGGUUAGAGUCGAAAUUAAAGGAGUUCCAAACUUAGUGACAUUUAAAGUGCUGCCCAGGGGUCCCAAGUUGGGCAAGGAAAGCCCAAGGGAAGGUGACAGCCAGAGAGAAUAUAAACAGCUGAAUGUCUUCGUAAGAGUUGUUUUAAAAAAUAAAAGCAGAUACCUCAGGGGUAAGGAAAUGACAGAAGUGGCAACAGGGCAAGUUAGAACCACAGUGGGGGUUGUCCUAGUUCCUUGCAGAAGUUCACAACCAAGGUGAUGGGUGAGUAUUGUGCUGGUUUGUCUCAGUAGACUCUUGGAUCCCAUGAGGGGUCCCAUGAGGGAUCACGCAGCUCGCCUUCUUUACAUCUCCAGGGCUGAGUAUGGCCCCUGGCACAUAACAGACACACAGCAAACAUUGGAGGGAACCAGGGGCUAGGGUAGGGUGGAAACUAAGGUCUUGCUGUUGAGGCAUUCAGGUAUCUGUAAGGUGAGGAUGCUGGACAGGCUUCACUGUUAAAGUCACUGAGGAAAAUCACAGGAGACCUGGGUAAAGAGAAGUGUAGAGACUUGCAUUAAAAUGAUCAAGAAUUACAGGAAAACAUCUGGUUUUAGUUGAUAUUAAUUGGUAGGGAAAGAGGUAGUGACAAAAGCAGAUGGUCUGACCAGUGUUUUGAGCCCAGAUCCACCUGCCACGGAAUAUGUAGGAUAUGUGUUAAAUCUGCACAUUUUGGGGCUCUGCUCUAGACCUGUGGAAUCCAAAACUCUGGGGAUAAAGCCUGGGAAACUGUAUUUUUAACAGUUUCUUCACAGGUUUGUAGGCCCAGCCAAAAAGGCUCAAAAACCACUGAUGUAGACUCUGAUGUGGAGCUUCUUGGCCAGGUGUGGGAAGCAUAUGGAAGCAAGGAGUUUAUUCGCUUCUCCUCCUGACCCAGCAAAUUCAGGGCAAUGAAAAAGGAGACACUCCCAAAGCCUCUUAAAGUUUUGAAAGAAGGGGCUUCUUUGUACCCAUUAAAAUACAAAGCUGGGGGGAAAAGUGGCUUCGGGGGAAACCAGUUUUGGUUAAAUCAAAGAAGUAGAAAGUACAUGAUGGAAAAUGCCUAGGCUCUUUUGAAGGGCUGUUUCUAAAAUGUCUAUAUGGAUUCCUUCCAUAGUUAUCAAAAGACUCAGAAAUUAUUUGCCCUUUUAUUGAAGAGGCAAGUUUAGAUUUACUCUCAAUUACCAUUCCAUAAUUGGAAAUGUCAGAAAAUACUGCUGUGUGCAUGCAUGUGUCCACAGAGGAAUUUGAUAAAAUAGUUAUUCAUGUGUAUAUUACAUGUAUAGGCAUUACUUGUAUAACUGAACUUCACAAAUAAUUGCCCCUUUCUUUUUUCCACAAAUUGAAGGUUUGUGGCAACCUUGAAUCAAGCAGGUCUGUCAGUGCCAUUUUUCCAACAAUACAUGGUUAUUUGUGUCUCUGUGUCACACUUUGGUAAUUGUCAAAAUACUUUAAACCAUUAUUACUAUAUUUGUUAUGGAGAUCCCUCAUCAGUGAUCUUUGAUGUGACUAUUCUAAUUGUUGUGUGGUGCCAUGAACCACACCCAUAUAAGACUAUGAACUUAAUUGAUAAAUGUUGUAUGUGUCCUGAUUGCUCAGCUGACCAUUUCAUGUCUCACUCCCUCUCCCUGGGCCUCAAUUAGGGCAAUGAACAACCCUCCAGUGGCUUCUAAAUGUUCAGGUCAAAGGAGGACGCUCACAUCUUACUUGAAAUCAAAGCCAGAAAGGGCUAAGCUCAGUGAGGAAGGAAUGUGCAAGAGGCUUGGCUAGCUUUUAGUCUAUCUCAGUACAAGUUGAAUGAAAAGGAAAAAAACUUGAAAGAAUUGAAAAUGCUACUUCAGUGAAGACAUGAAUGAUAAGAAAGGCUGCCUUGUAUCUGAUAUGGAGAAAGUUUGAGUAGUCUGAUUAGAAGGUCACACCAGUUACAACAUUUGCCAAAACCAAAUCCAUAGAAAGCCCUAACUCUCUUCAAUUCUAUGAAGACCAAGAGAGGUGUGGAAUCUGCAGAAGAAUAGUGUGAAGCUAACAGAGGAUGGCUCAGAGGGUUUCAGGAAAGAAGCCGUCUGCAUAAAAUAGAAGUGCAAGGUGCAGCAAGAAGUGCUGAUAUAGAAGCUGCAGCAAGUUCUCAAGAAGAUCUAGCUAAGGUCACUGUUGAAGGUGGCCACACUAAACAGAUUUUCAGUGUAGAGAGCACAGCCUUCUAUUCAAAGAAGAUGCCAUCUUGGACUUUUACAGUUAGAGAGAAGUCGGUUCCUGACUUCAAAGCUUCAAAGGACAGACUGACUUUCUUAAGGGCUAAGCCAGUGCUCAUUUACCAUUCUGAAAAUCCCAGGGCCCUUAAGAAUUGUGGUAAAUCUACUCUGUGCUCUAGAAAUGGAACACAAAGCUGGAUGACAGCACAUCUGUUCCCACCAUGUUUUACUCAAGAUUUUAGGCCCACUAUUGAGACCUACUUCGCAGAAAACAGAUUUUCUUUCAAAAUAUUACUGCUCAUUGACAGCACAUCUAGUCACCCGAGAGCUCUGAUGGAGCUAUACAAGGAGGUGAAUGUUGUUUUCAUGCCUGCUAACACAAUAUCCAUUCUGCAGCCUGUGGAUCAAGCAGUAAUUCUGGCUUUCAUGUCUUACUAUUUGAGAAAUAAUACAUUUUGUAAGGCUAUAGUUACCAUACAUUCCUCUGAUGAUGGCCAAGUAAAUUGAAAACCUUCUGGAAAGGAUUCACCAUUCUACAUACCGUGAAGAACAUUCAUGAUUUAUGGGAGGAGGUCAGAAUAUCUGCAUUAACAGAAGUUUGAAACAAGUGAUUGUAAUGCUCAUGGAUGACUCUGAAGGGUUCAAGACCUCAAUGGAGGAAGUCACUGCAUACAUGGUGGAAAUAGCAAGAGAACAAGAAUUAGAAAUGGAGCCUGCAUAUGUGAUUGAACUGCUGAAAUCUUGUGAUAAAACUUGAAUGGAUGAGGAGUUGCUUUUUAGGGAUGAGCAAAUAAAGUGGUUUCUUGAGAUGGAAUCUACUCCUGGUGAAGAGGCAGUGAACAUCGUUAAAAUGACAACAAAGGUUUUAGUAUGUUCCAUAAACUUAAUUGAUAAAACAGUGUCAGGGUUUGAAGGGAUUGACUACAGUUUUGAAAGAAGCUCUGCUGGGGGUAAAAUGCUGUCAAACAGUGAAUUAGUCAGGGUUCUCUUAAAGGGUGGAACUGAUAGGAGAUAUAUAUAUGGAACUUUUUAAAUAUUAACUUACAUGAUCACAAGGUCACAGUAGGCUGUCUGCAAGCUGAGGAGCAAGGAGAGCCAAUCCAAGUCCCAAAACUAAAGAACUUGGAGUCUGAUGUUCGAGGGUAGGAAGCAUCCAGCACAGCAGAAAGAUGUAGGCUGGGAGGCUAGGCCUGUCUCUCCUUUUCACGUUUUUCUGCCUACUUUAUAUACCUGGAAGCUAAUUAGAUUGUGCCUACCAGAUUAAGGGUGGAUCUGCCUUCCCAGCCCGCUGACUGAAAUGCUAAUCUCUUUUGGCUGCACCCACACAGACACACCCAGGAUUAAUACUUUGUAUCCCUCAGUCCAAUCAAGUUGACACUCCGUAUUAACCAUCACAGACAGCAUUCCAUUGCUACAUAGAAAUCCUUCAUUGCUAUUUCUUCAAUUACAGAGGCAGCAAGAAAAAAGAAGAAAAAAGUGAAAUCCUUCAUGAAAGGAAAAGUCCAUCAGUGUGGCAUACCUCACUGUUGUCUUCAUUUAAGAAAAUGCCACAGCCACUCCAGCCUUCAGCAGCCAUCACCUUGAUGGAUCAGUAGCUAUUCACACUAAGGCAAGGUCCUCCACAAGCAGAAAGAUUAUGAAUUGCUAAAGUCUCAGAUAACCAUUAGCGUUUUCUAGCCGUAAAGCCUUUUUUAAGGCAUACACAUUUUUUAGACAAUGCUAUUGCACACUUAAUAGACUACAAUGUAGUGUAAUCACAACUUUUAUAUGCAUUAGGAAUCUAAAAAAUUUGUAUGACUUGCUUUAUUGUGGUUGUCUGGAACCAAAAAAUCAGUGUAUUUCUGAGGUAUGCCUAUAUGCUUAUUUCAAGACUAAAAUAGCCUUCCUGUAAGGAGUUGUCUUCCCCACAAUAAAGUCAUCUUUACAAUGUCCUUUCAUUUUGGACCAAAUUCAACAUAAUGUUUUUAACAUUAGAACCACACCAACUUAAAGCUUAGAUAUAUUUCUGUAACUGCGGGGAUAAUGGAAACUUCAUGCUUUCAAUGAUAUUCUCAAAGGAUGCUUUCACCCUGGAGUCAGAUAAGAGAGCUAAUUGCAGGCUGGCUUGCAGGCACUGGAAAUCUUACAGAUGGUAGCAAGAAAAGUGAUAUGGGAGGAGGAAGUUGAAGUGUCAUGAAGCAUCAAGAGAUAGAGCACUGUGGGAACAGUGGAGGGUCUGAGAGUCUGUUAGCUGGGAUGAGGAGUGCAGCAGUCCAGCUGGCUGCGUGAAGAUCAGGGUGCAUGAGGAGGGGUCAGCCUGGGGAGAAUUGAGCUGGACUGGGAUUUGAAACUAGGGGAGAAGCUGGGUUGGAGGGAAUGUGAGUUUUUGAACAGAGGAUUCUGUGAAGGUAGCAUCAGUGAGACGGUUUACUCAUUUGCUCAUCGAUGCUGUUGCCUCUGUGGGGAUAAUGCUCUGAAUUCUAACUCGAGUCUUAGCUCACUAAUCCCAGCCAGUCCCUUGGAAUUUGUUCCUCUUACUCUGUUUACUUGUACCUACCCACACAGUUUCUCUAUUAGUGGCUGCUGACUGGCACUAAGUAACUUUAAAUAAAACUGUAUCCCCUCUGAUAAUUUUGAACUCUGAAGAGUAUUCUCCAUGAUUCCUCAGAUGCCAAAUUUAAGUGUAUCUCAAUAUUUCUCUGCAGAGUCCGAAACAAACUCUUUUUAUAUUACUGUUUCUUGGCAGGUUUCAAAAAACUACCAGACUUGCAGGCGUUUAUCAUGGUCCUAUAACUCCUGUCUCUAAAUCUGCAUCCCUGCCCACUCUCCCUCCGCCCACCCCACCCAUGGUUAUUUCCAUGGACUCUGUGGCAACUUUCUGCAACAGAACUGCUGCCUUAAAAAGCUAUGGAUAAAAUAUGGCUCCAGGUCACAUGAAGUGUAAAGGCUUAUAGCCAUGACUAGAACACAAGGUCAACAAGACGAUUCCAAACUGGGGCACUUUUUAGGAGUUAUUUGCGGUAAAAACAUGUUUACUCAAAGAGAAAGCUAUUCACUGCUUUCCUUUCAGGAGAAAAAAGCAUUAUCAGCUUUUUGUGGCUUCUAAUUUAUUCUAUGACUUGUCAGUUGACUAGCUUUUAAUGUUCCUCUCCUUAUGCCUUUUUUCAAAUCCUUUAUCCAAAAGGCUAUGAAGAUGUUGACUUUGAACUUGCCUGAGGUAGCCCGGAUUCAGGAAGGCUUUAGGAACGUUAUAUUAGUUAUCAAUAGUGGAGAGAAAGGUCGUUGUUUACUGGGAAUAAUAGGAUUUCCAUGUUUUCCUUCAUCAACUUUCUCAGCUAGUAAGUUUUGUUGCUGCUAACAUUUAUUUAGUAGUUCAGCAUAGGAAAAUGACAUCUUGAGCAUCUUAACAUUUAGAGAGGAAGUUGAAUAUGAAAUUUGUUUUCUGGAGUAUAAGUCUUACUAGAUUAAGUUGCUUGGCAGGAUGGCAAAUCUGCCUCUGUCAGUGCUGAGAGGGGUGAGAAGGAGCAGAGAAUGGAAAGCCUGUUCUGUGUGUGCUUCGGGAAGGCCUGGAGAGGUGGGCACGAUAGCUACAUGUGGGGAUGCAGAAUUGAGGCUAGGAGAGAGAAACAACAUGCAAAGGGCACCAGCAAGAUAGCUGUGGAAUAACAAUUAAAUGUGGGUCUCCGUUCUCAGAGCCAGCCUCUUUAAACUGCUCUGUGUGCUCUCCUUAAAAACAGAAAGAUUCUUCACCAAAAAGCCCUUUAGAGGCGAUAGGUUUUCAUUGUGCCACUGUACAUCAUGAAGAGAGAGUUUACUGUUUUUCCCAUUUAAAAGCAUGCAGUAUUUACUAAGUAAUGCUAAAUCUUAUAUUCUGCCUUCUUAUG